AGCUUGCUUUUUGAAAGUUAGCGGCGGACGGGUGAGUAACACGUGGGCAACCUGCCUGCAAGACGGGGAUAACUCCGGGAAACCGGGGCUAAUACCGGAUAAUAUCUUCCUUCGCAUGAAGGAAGGUUGAAAGGCGGCGCAAGCUGCCGCUUGCAGAUGGGCCCGCGGCGCAUUAGCUAGUUGGUGAGGUAACGGCUCACCAAGGCGACGAUGCGUAGCCGACCUGAGAGGGUGAUCGGCCACACUGGGACUGAGACACGGCCCAGACUCCUACGGGAGGCAGCAGUAGGGAAUCUUCCGCAAUGGACGAAAGUCUGACGGAGCAACGCCGCGUGAGCGAAGAAGGUCUUCGGAUCGUAAAGCUCUGUUGUCAGGGAAGAACAAGUACCGUUCGAACAGGGCGGUACCUUGACGGUACCUGACCAGAAAGCCACGGCUAACUACGUGCCAGCAGCCGCGGUAAUACGUAGGUGGCAAGCGUUGUCCGGAAUUAUUGGGCGUAAAGCGCGCGCAGGCGGUCUCUUAAGUCUGAUGUGAAAGCCCACGGCUCAACCGUGGAGGGUCAUUGGAAACUGGGAGACUUGAGUGCAGAAGAGGAGAGCGGAAUUCCACGUGUAGCGGUGAAAUGCGUAGAGAUGUGGAGGAACACCAGUGGCGAAGGCGGCUCUCUGGUCUGUAACUGACGCUGAGGCGCGAAAGCGUGGGGAGCGAACAGGAUUAGAUACCCUGGUAGUCCACGCCGUAAACGAUGAGUGCUAAGUGUUAGAGGGCUUCCACCCUUUAGUGCUGCAGCUAACGCAUUAAGCACUCCGCCUGGGGAGUACGGCCGCAAGGCUGAAACUCAAAGGAAUUGACGGGGGCCCGCACAAGCGGUGGAGCAUGUGGUUUAAUUCGAAGCAACGCGAAGAACCUUACCAGGUCUUGACAUCCUUCGCUACCUCUAGAGAUAGAGGGUUCCCCUUCGGGGGACGGAGUGACAGGUGGUGCAUGGUUGUCGUCAGCUCGUGUCGUGAGAUGUUGGGUUAAGUCCCGCAACGAGCGCAACCCUUGACCUUAGUUGCCAGCAUUCAGUUGGGCACUCUAAGGUGACUGCCGGUGACAAACCGGAGGAAAGGGGGGGGAUGACGUCAAAUCAUCAUGCCCCUUAUGACCUGGGCUA
rnacentral:rRNA from 2 species